CACUGACUGAUUGCGGCCAGGUUGACUGCUCGAGCCAUGGUUCCCUGAUACACCAACAGUGUUCGGGAACGCCGUGUCAUGCUGCACCGACGGACAAGCAGCCUCCCACACUGACUGAUUGCGGCCAGGUUGACUGCUCGAGCCAUGGUUCCCUUAAACACCAACAGUGUGCGGGAACGCCGUGUCAUGCUGCACCGACGGACAAGCAGCCUCCCACACUGACUGAUUGCGGUCAGGUUGACUGCUCGAGCCAUGGUUCCCUGAUACACCAACAGUGUUCGGGAACGCCGUGUCAUGCUGCACCGACGGACAAGCAGCCUCCCACACUGACUGAUUGCGGCCAGGUUGACUGCUCGUGCCAUGGUUCCCUGAAACACCAACAGUGUUCGGGAACGCCAUGUCAUGCUGCACCGACGGACAAGCAGCCUCCCACACUGACUGAUUGCGG
rnacentral:lncRNA from 1 species